rnacentral:rRNA from 1 species
GAACGGUGCUUUCGGGCACAGUGGCGGACGGGUGAGUAACGCGUGAGAAUCUGGCUCUAGGUCUGGGACAACCACUGGAAACGGUGGCUAAUACCGGAUGUGCCGAGAGGUGAAAGGCUUGCUGCCUAGAGAUGAGCUCGCGUCUGAUUAGCUAGUUGGAAGUGUAAUGGACUCCCAAGGCGACGAUCAGUAGCUGGUCUGAGAGGACGAUCAGCCACACUGGGACUGAGACACGGCCCAGACUCCUACGGGAGGCAGCAGUGGGGAAUUUUCCGCAAUGGGCGAAAGCCUGACGGAGCAAUACCGCGUGAGGGAGGAAGGCUCUUGGGUCGUAAACCUCUUUUCUCAGGGAAGAANANAAUGACGGUACUUGAGGAAUAAGCAUCGGCUAACUCCGUGCCAGCAGCCGCGGUAAUACGGAGGAUGCAAGCGUUAUCCGGAAUGAUUGGGCGUAAAGGGUCCGCAGGUGGCAAUGNAAGUCUGCUGUUAAAGAGUCUAGCUCAACUAGAUAAAAGCAGUGGAAACUACAUAGCUAGAGUACGUUCGGGGCAGAGGGAAUUCCUGGUGUAGCGGUGAAAUGCGUAGAGAUCAGGAAGAACACCGGUGGCGAAGGCGCUCUGCUAGGCCGUAACUGACACUGAGGGACGAAAGCUAGGGGAGCGAAUGGGAUUAGAUACCCCAGUAGUCCUAGCCGUAAACGAUGGAUACUAGGCGUGGCUUGUAUCGACCCGAGCCGUGCCGUAGCUAACGCGUUAAGUAUCCCGCCUGGGGAGUACGCCGGCAACGGUGAAACUCAAAGGAAUUGACGGGGGCCCGCACAAG